CAUGCCCAUCAUACAAACAGCUCAUGGAGUACAGAAGCUCGAAAUCAAAAGAACGACAGUCUUUUAACUAUGGGCCAAAAGGAAGAUAUAGGCCUAAAGAAAGAAAACACGUCCAGAUAAACGUAGGAUUGAUGGUGCCAAGUGGAACUGAUUUAAAACCU